rnacentral:lncRNA from 1 species
CCAUCUCCGCCAGUCCCUACCAGCAGCAGCAACCAACCACACCUGCAGACUCUGCUGGCUUCCUCCGCUCAUUGCAGCGGCCCUACCUCCGCCCAACUCACCUCCGCUGGCCACCACCGCCGAACUCGGAGCUCCAAGUCUGCUGAACUUCGGACCUCCGCUGAACUCAUGGUCUCCGCCGAGCUCUAGCUCUCUACUGAGCUCCGAGUCUCCGCCGAUCCCCAUCUCUCCACUGAGCUCGGUGAUCUCCGCCAAGCUCCAGGUGAAUGCCAAGCUCAGCCGAGCAUCACCGCUGGCCAAACACCACAGGCGGCCACCGCCUGCACAACCCAGCGGUAACCCACCGCCAGCUCAAACUUCAGUAGGUACCCGCCAACCUCUAGGUACAACUCCGCCGGCACCGACGGUUACCAGCUCCGCUUGCCUUCCCAGCUCCGGCAGCAACCUCGGUGGCUCCGCUAGGACCCAGUCAGCGGC